CCACGCUAUAAACGGAAAUAAGUGGCUCACUUUCUCGUGCAUAUCACAACCGAUCGGACCACAUCUUUUUUAGCAAUCAUCGACACUCGCUUCGUUUUCUAACCUUCAAGUCACACACGUGCAAUCGUAAAAGUCCUUUUUAUUAUUUCUAUUGGCUCAACUCAUGCAUUAAUAAUAUAGUUUAGGCUGUGUAUAAAGUGAGGGCUGAUUUAAUAGAUCAGUCCUCAUGGCAAUGAACGUGGGGUACAACAUCUAAAACCGAUGCACUCAAUAGUAUAAUAUACAGUUUUGUCCUUCGAGCCGGAUCAUCUCGCGUUUGUUCUCCGCGGCUUUUGUGCUUUCCGGUUAAUUCUUUGUGAAUUUUUUCUUUUAAUUUUUUGUACAAUCUAUAAUACAGUUUUUUCUUUGCGGGUCAAAUCAUGUCCGAUAGCGAGGCACCCAAUCCGGAGUGUAAAGAUUCGGACGUGCAAUCGAUCAAAUCGACACAAAGUCACAAGUCAACGGUGAUAUCAGCACCUACACUCAACGUGUAUGUUACGUCAGGACGACAAUCACCUGUGCACUCGGAUGUGGACGAGACAGGUUCUGUCAAAUCCACUCGCUCGUCAAAACGUGCACAAUCACCCGCACGGCUAACUGACGAGCUCGUGCUUAAAGCCAGAUCGCAAAUCGAUCGCGUUAAGGCACUCACUCCACACUUCAAGCAAAUCAAUAAUUUCCGGGAUAAGGACAGCUCUGCAAUGAAGGCAAUUCUGCAAUCAGCUGAGGAAGUACACAGGGGUUUCCUAAAAGAGCACUCGUUUCUGGAAAUUACCUGGCCAGUAGCACAUCUCAAUCACGAGUAUUUUGCGGAUGAUGUUCACCCACAAGAAGCAAGCAUCAUCUGCGAUAUUCGCCAACUAGCUGCAGUCCGUCUUCAGCCAAUCGACACUCCUGCACCUAAUAUCACUCCUGGUUUAAUAUCUUCAAUUUGGAAGUAUUUUUCUUUUAAUUUAUUACAAUUUCCUUGUUUUUUGUUUAAAAUUUCUGACUAAAAUGUGCUUUUUUUAUCUAGUUUACAAUAGGUUUUUGAAAUUUCUGUUUUAGAAUUUUGAAUAUUAAAAAAUUUAGUGUUACAAUAUAUUAAGUUCUGGUCAAUAAUAAGCAUACCAUCGAAUUGAGCUAUGGCUCUGACAUCAUAGUACUACUAACAUAUUAGUUCUAUUUUAGGGUAUUUAAUAUAAAUUAUAAUUAUGUCUCCUUUUUGGGCUAUUUUAAAUUUAAAUGUCCAUUAAACUUGUUAUGGUCAUUAUACGUAUACCGUGUUGGUAAUAUGUUACGUUUUUUAGUUCAUCAAAAUGUAAAAUUGUUGGAUUUAAAAUUCCAGUUUUACCAAAAGUUAUUGCAUUUAUUAAAUUUUGCAGUUCAUGUAUAACAUAUUGAUUUCGUUUUCUUUUUAAUUUUCCUGUUUGUGGUAUCACCUUCAAUAUUAUUUACUGUGUCAGAUAAUUCUGUUAUUAUUUUAAACAUUUCUGAAUUUGUUGUGAGUUGUUUAUUGUUACUUAUUACUAGUUGGUCCAAUUUGUCAUUUUAACAAAGUCGUCGUGGUCUGAUGUACCGGCUAUCCAUUUCCAAAGUGUUCCUAAAUCAUUUAUACGCCUUUUUUGCCGAAAAUGGGUUUGUUUUAAUUCUUUUAAUAAUGUUUUAAUUAUCAAAAUUUCAGAUUCUGUUUCCUGUGUAAUAAUUCCUAGGCUCUCGUGAUUUUGUUCGUUAUGACUGUAAAAAUUUCAAUUUUCGUCUGCUAUUAUAUUUUCAAAAUAAGAUAAAUUAGUAAUGUGAAAUAGGUCCCCGUAUUCCUCAUAAAUGGAAACAUCUCCAUUUUCGAUAAGUACGUAGUCUUGUCGGGUAUAGUCUAUAGCAUCAGCGACUGCUGAGCAGAUUAGUGCAGUAAAAAUUAAAAUGAUCAUAUUGGAAACUUAUAAUAAUUAUGAUUUUAUAUUAUUUUUAUGAUAACUCUAUUUCUAUUAUUAAUUAUUUUAUUCUCAAAAUUUUCCUUAACUCGCUGUUUUUUAUAUCUAGGUUGUAAUUUAUUUCUCUCUUCUAUUAUUUUCUCGUAAAUGAUUUGGCCGGGAUGAUAUUGCUAUCUGAUCUAUGUUUAUUAUGAAACGUUAGCAUUUUCUCCUGUGCUUGCUUUACAGUUGUUGGCAAAUUUUCGUGGUUUAUUUUAUUAUAAAUUACUUUAUUUGGUUUAAAAUUCGGUACUGAAUGUAUUGUUGUAUUGUAUUUUUUCGCUGCUCUAAGUAUAGUUUCUAAAUUACUGACAAUAUUGUAUUCUUCUUUUAUUCAUCUGGCUAUUUCAAUUAUUGUUGAAUGGACUCUUUCAACUUGUCCGUUAGUUAUGCUGUGACGUGAAUUACAAAAAUAAAUUUCAAUAUUUAACCUGCGCAUUAAGGACUUAAAUGUUGGUGUGGUAAAGUUUGGUUCAUUGUCUAAAGUAGUUUGUUUUACAUCUGUGAAACUUUGAAGCAAUUCUAAAACCUUUUCUUCGAUAUUUGAUUUAUUUUCUAUAUGUUUUUUUACGGAUUGCCAAUGCAUUGCCCACACUCUAGUCACACGGUUAUAAAAUUGCCAAUGCAUUGCCCACACUCUGGUCACACUGUUAUACAGUGGCAACACUCUAGCCACGCUAUAAACGGAAAUAAGUGGCUCACUUUCUCGUGCAUAUCACAACCGAUCGGACCACAUCUUUUUUAGCAAUCAUCGACACUCGCUUCGUUUUCUAACCUUCAAGUCACACACGUGCAAUCGUAAAAGUCCUUUUUAUUAUUUCUAUUGGCUCAUCUCAUGCAUUAAUAAUAUAGUUUGUAAGUCAAUCGUUAUAAAAAAUACAAUAAAAUUAAUUAAA